rnacentral:rRNA from 1 species
CCUACGGGAGGCAGCAGUGGGGAAUAUUCGGCAAUGGGCGCAAGCCUGACCCAGCAACGCCGCGUGAAGGAAGAAGGCUUUCGGGUCGUAAACUUCUUUUAAGAGGGAAGAGCAGAAGACAGUACCUCUUGAAUACGCCAUGGCGAUCUACGUGCAAGCAGCAGCGGUAAUACGUAGGUGGCAAGCGUUGUCCGGAUUUACUGGGUGGAAAGGACUUGCAUACGGGCAGAGAAGGCAGAAGUGAAAUCCCGCGGCGCAACCGCGGAACUGCCUUUGAAAUUGUUUUUCUUGAGUACCGGAGAGGUCAGCGGAAUGCCUGGUGUAGCGGUGAAAUGCGUAGAUAUAAGGAAGAACACCAGUGGCGAAGGCGGAUGACUGGCUGGCAACUGACGCUGAGGCGCGAAAGCGUGGGGAGCAAACAGGAUUAGAGACCCGAGUAGUC